UCCCCUACUCCUUGAUCCUCACGUCCUCUCGCGUCGUCGCCUUCUCUCCUGGGCCUCCCCGGUGCUCGAGGUGCAACAGAGGGGGCGCCACUAUGUUCUCAAUCAAGCUAGAUCGGGAUCAAGCACAGGUCGCUGGCAUCAGAUGCUGCACGCUGUGAUUUGGGGUCGGGCGCCGAUCUCCACAAGGAGAUUAGGAGCGGCCGCUGCAGGGAGGGUAGGCAGCACAGGAGCCCGUCCCGGUCGAGCCCCCACCCCGGCAGGUGCCUGCAGAGGAGGAGAGGCCGAGGAUGGCCCCCAGUACAUGGAGGAGAUGCUCAACACACAUGAGCUCUUUCUUCACGAUUUGCAUAUAUUGGCAUGGUAACCUGACUUCAUCCCCUAAUUCAUGGCUUCCUAUUUUUUCUGAUGCAGGUAGGGGAGGAGUCUGUCCUCGGAGAGGUAGCAUGGUGGCUGCACCGGUGCCUCGCCCAUCUAUGCAUCUACCGAGGAUGGAUGGCACCAUGUGGGUCAGGAGUCCGUCAUCGCCCUUGCAGGCAUGAUUCGUCGCCUUUGUCACCCCCGCGCGCCAUGACACAUUAGUCACUGUUGGGCUACUGCCGUAGUCCUGCUCCUUGAUGGAGUCUUCCUCCUUUGGCUACGUCUUCUCUGGCAAUGCCCCUCUCGACCCCAGAGGGUGUCCUAGCGCAUGUUGUCUCGGUGGAAUAGCAGGGGCGGCAUGGUCACCAUAGCGGGGUGGACAACAAGAGAGCGUGAGGAGGUUGGCAGUGGGUGACAAGGAGCAGCAAAGUCGGACAUGGCAGGAAGGAGUGCCGAGGCCACAGUGGAGGAUAGGCCAGCGAUGGGUGCAAGGAGCUACAUGAGCAAAGCUACAGGCGGUGCUCCGCCGCAAUGGGGUGGAGCUACGGGGAGGGGGAGGCGACCAAUGACAGAGAUCAGAAAGCAUGUCGUUGCGGGUGCUAGUAGCAGGGUAAGAUAAAUAAGAAGUGCAUUGAAGGUAGAGAAAUAAUUUCCAAUGUUCUGGAGUACACCAGUUGAUAAGAGCUUUUUGAAACUAUUCUAAGUUCAUCAUUUGAAAUGAUUGAAUUCGUAUUGUUCUCUAUGAGAUUAUUGAUUCAUGUUACAUGACCAUGUUCUGAUUAGCUAUAUUUGAUGCCCUACCCUUCGGACUGAUGGUAGUUUGAAGGAUGAGGUUUGCGCUAAUGCUUUAGCAACUCAUAGUAUGUUGUAGUUAUUUGUUCAGGAGUAUCAGCUAGUUGAAUGAUGAAUAGUUUUCUAAUGAAGAAAAAAUUCACGAUAUUGUUGGAUUACUUAUGAAUGGAAUUGGUUUCCAUAACUAGAGGAAGGCAAGUGCUACAUUGUCAAAUAUUGAUACUUCCUUAUCAUGUCAGAUCAGAGUCCUGAUGCCUUGUUGAACCAUUUUCUCUGGAUAUAUAUAUACCAUUUUCUAAUAUCUCACAGUUAUAUUGGUUGCACUAGCUUUUGGCAUAUAAUUUGAAGGGUAUUCUUCCCAUAUGAUCAGUUCUGUGGCCUGCACUCAUUUUUACUGCCAUGAAUGGUGUAAGUCUCCCUCUCUCUCUCACACACACUAUGUGUGUGUGUGUGUGUGUCAUUCUUUCUCAGAUUUGAAGGCAAGUAAUUAUUUCAUGUUAUCAAUCAUGGGAAUUGUAUGAUUUCUAUUUAUUUCCGUGGUGGCCAAUUAAAAUCUGACAAGGAGGUCGCUAUCCAUCUACUUCCAUAAUGUCGAACCUCCAACUGAUUUUUCUUUUCCAAUAGGAUAUGCAUUUGAUCCAGUCCAUGUCUUGGCCUCUUUUUGACGUGUGUAUACCAAUGUUCUUCUUGCAGGUAUUGUUCAAUCCGCCAGUAGCUAGCGGAUGUCGUGUUGUGAUUAAGGUUCAGAAGCAUGUGUACCGAUGUUUUGUUAGGCAUCAAAUUAGAACUUGGGCCUUGCCUUCACCAAGUGUCUCUAAUGCUUACCAAUAUUCAAAAUAUAGAGAUCAACACCGAAGCAUUAGGCAUUGGUGGAUCUGUGGAGAUAGAAACGUUUUGCAUUUAUGGUGGCAAAGCUGGUUAGCAUCUAGAUAAAUGUCAAGAGAAAAUGAUAGUAAAAGGUCUUAAGGUUACACCUUGAGAUAUGCAGCCAUUGUGUUUCUUAUACCAGUCCGUUAUAUGAUGUUUUAUUAAUUUCUUUGUAUGGACUACAACUUUUGAAUAGCAUCUCCCAACUCAUUACCUACCGGUUUUUGAAUAUCUAUUGACGCCAACAGUCUAGCAUUCUCCAAAAACUUACAAUGAUCAGUAGUUUAUCCAUAA